UUUUUUUAAUUUCUUUUCCUUUUCUCCUCCCCGAAUUCGCCCGAACUCUCCCCCUUUCCCCGAUCUCCUCUCCCGAGCCCUCUCUCGCACGACCUUUUCUUCCCCGAUCACGAGUCUUCUUCUUCUCGAGACCUCUUGCGAUUUCUCUCUCGGGCGAUCACCGGCGCCGACAACCCUAGCUCUGGUUCGGUCGUCGCCCUCUCCCUUCUCUCUUGUCGUCGUGCCCUAGAUUGCCGACGCCGAGUCUUGCUCGCCGAGAUGCCUCCAGCACACCUUCAUCGCCAAUCAGGGGAGCAUCUGUUGGCGCAAAUCCGGUCGCCAAUGAUUCUUCUUCGACCUCCAGCGAGAGAUGCCUAUUCCCUUUUGUGCGCCACCAACCAACGCGUGGAUCGACACCAACCCAAGUCGCGGACAUCUGGUGCUCACUUGAAGCUGUGUGCAUGAACCGGAGAUGAGGUUACUAGCUUUGAUCGCCGUGGCCAGCCGUUGUCCUCUUCCUUACGCAACUGUGCCCAAGAUCGGACCCCUCCACUCCGACCAAUUGGUGCUGGUGAUUGUGGCUUCAUUGCGGUUGUCCUUCCCUUGCCAAGAAGUGUCUAUAGAGGGAUUUUUGGCUACUUAUGGCUUGUUGCAAUCACUGGACCUCUACUUUGACCAUUGUCUUGCCCAAGAUCCAGUGCUGGACAUCAUUUUCUGGUUCUGAUAUGAAGUUGCUGGACAUCUUCCAAACAUCAUCGAUUUGGCUAGAAAUCAGGAUUCAACAGAGGGAUAUUGUUUGGGAGUUCAGCAGUCUCAUCUUGCCCUAGUUACCAAUUUCCAACAGCCAACAUUUUCGGCUUUGGAUCAACCACGGUGCAUCCGAAAUUGGGAUUUGGGAUUGAGGUGAGUGUCUCGAUGUGGGAUUGGUCUAUCUGACGCGAUCGACAGAUAAAGGCGGGUAUUUCUUCCUUUGCCUUUAUGUAUUUUCUUUGAGCUUAGUGCAUGGUUGUUAUUUGCCGGAUUAGGUUACUUUACCUUAUAUCGGGUUCAUUUGCUGUUCUUCCUACUUGAUACUUUUGCUUGAGCUUAGAGAUGAUCUAGUUAUAUCAUAUACAGUCUCAACUCUUGAUUUCUACUCUGCUGUGAUUACGCGUGUAGAGUAUGUAUUGUAGGGAUUGUCGAGUG